AUCAGGUAGUAACAGAGGGUUUGAUUCUGGCUCAGAUUGAACGCUGGCGGGGAUGCGCUUUACACAUGCAAGUCGAACGGCAGCACGGACUUCGGUCUGGUGGCGAGUGGCGAACGGGUGAGUAAUGUAUCGGAACGUGCCUAGUAGCGGGGAUAACUACGCGAAAGCGUAGCUAAUACCGUAUUGCCCUUCGGGAAAGCGGGGACCUUUCGGGCCUCGCACUAUUAGAGCGGCCGAUAUCGGAUUAGCUAGUUGGUGGGGUAACGGCUCACCAAGGCGACGAUCCGUAGCUGGUUUGAGAGGACGACUAGCCACACUGGGACUGAGACACGGCCUCCAGACUCUACGGAGUGCAGCGGGGAAUUUUGGACAAUGGGGGAAACCCUGCAUCCAGCCAUCCCGCGUGUGCGAUGAAGGCCUUCGGGUUGUGUAAAGCACUUUUGGCAGGGAAAGAAACGGCACGGGAUAAUACCCCGUGCAACUGACGGUACCUGCAGAAUAAGCACCGGCUAACUACGUGCCAGCAGCCGCGGUAAUACGUAGGGGUGCAAGCGUUAAUCGGAAUUACUGGGCGUAAAGCGUGCGCAGGCGGUUCGGAAAGAAAGAUGUGAAAUCCCAGAGCUUAACUUUGGAACUGCAUUUUUAACUACCGAGCUAGAGAGUGUGUCAGAGGGAGGUGGAAUUCCGCGUGUAGCAGUGAAAUGCGUAGAUAUGCGGAGGAACACCGAUGGCGAAGGCAGCUUCCUGGGAUAACACUGACGCUCAUGCACGAAAGCGUGGGAGCAAACAGGAUUAGAUACCCUGGUAGUCCACGCCCUAAACGAUGUCAACUAGCUAAGUUGGGGCCUUCGGGCCUUGGUAGCGCAGCUAACGCGUGAAGUUGACCGCCUGGGGAGUACGGUCGCAAGAUUAAAACUCAAAGGAAUUGACGGGGACUCCGCACAAGCGGUGGAUGAUGUGGAUUAAUUCGAUGCAACGCGAAAAACCUUACCUACCCUUGACAUGUCUGGAAUCCCGAAGAGAUUUGGGAGGCUUCGCAAGAGAACCGGAACACAGGUGCUGCAUGGCUGUCGUCAGCUCGUGUCGUGAGAUGUUGGGUUAAGUCCUGCAACGAGCGCAACCCUUGUCAUUAGUUGCUACGAAAGGGCACUCUAAUGAGACUGCCGGUGACAAACCGGAGGAAGGUGGGGAUGACGUCAAGUCCUCAUGGCCCUUAUGGGUAGGGCUUCACACGUCAUACAAAUGGUCGGACAGAGGGUCGCUAACCCGCGAGGGGAGCCAAUCCUAGAAACCCUGAUCGUAGUCCGGAUCGCAGUCUGCAACUCGACUGCGUGAAGUCGGAAUCGCUAGUAAUCGCGGAUCAGCAUGUCGCGGUGAAUACGUUCCCGGGUCUUGUACACACCGCCCGUCACACCAUGGAGUGGGUUUUACCAGAAGUAGUUAGCCUAACCGUAAGGAGGGCGAUUACCACGGUAGGAUUCAUGACUGGGGUGAAGUCGUAACAAGGUAG
rnacentral:rRNA from 1 species